GGCUAACACAUUUCAUAUCUCUAGGAUAUGAUUUUAUACUUAUUGGACAGUUAUAUUAUCAUUCAUAUUUAUGUGUCCAUAAAUCAUCCAAGGGAUUAACAAGAUGAUGACACAUAUUCUCAGAGAGUUGAGAAUUUGAGGCAUAUGUCAUUAAUGGUUGAUUCCUAAAUUGCUCCUAGUCAUAGGAUCAUCAUGGAAAUAGUGAUCGAUCUGGAUAGAGUAGUGUACGGAUCACUUCUUUCGGAUAGAUGGGUCUCGAC
rnacentral:lncRNA from 1 species